rnacentral:lncRNA from 1 species
CCCUGAAGGUUCCCCUGCCAGGUGGGGGUUCAGAGCCACGCAGGGGAUGUUGGGCUUUCUCUGUGCCCCACUGCCCAUGCAGCUGCUGCACUGAGUGAGCUGGGAUUGGUGACACUGCGUGCAGCACUGCUCCUCCAGGACACACCAGGAAACGCCUUAUGGAAACAGCAACAAUGCCGCUGAGCCCUGCGCCGUCCCCUGGCUCCCAGCUGCCAGACGGAGGGUCCUCCAUGGCUGCAGCAGGGAGGAGAAAGCCUGGAAGCCGCCCCUAUGGACCCACUCUGCUCCUCCAGCUCCUGCAUUACAUUUGCACAGCUGUCUGCCCGUGCUGGAGCAGGAACGUGCCCCUCCGAAGCAGCGCGGAGAUUAAUGGGCUGGAAGGAACAGGGCAGCUCUGCAUGCCGUCCUCGUCCCAGCACUGUGGCCCCACGCCGGCUCCACUCCAGCAGCUCCUCUGAAACAUCCCAGUUCGAAGUGAUUUUACAACAAGCCUUCGUUUCCAG